rnacentral:rRNA from 1 species
UACGUAGGGUGCAAGCGUUGUCCGGAAUCACUGGGCGUAAAGCGCACGUAGGCGGCUUUUUAAGUCAGGGGUGAAAUCCUGGAGCUCAACUCCAGAACUGCCUUUGAUACUGAGAGGCUUGAGUCCGGGAGAGGUGAGUGGAACUGCGAGUGUAGAGGUGAAAUUCGUAGAUAUUCGCAAGAACACCAGUGGCGAAGGCGGCUCACUGGCCCGGUACUGACGCUGAGGUGCGAAAGCGUGGGGAGCAAACAGG